GAAUCAGCAUCCAAUAUAUGGUACUGCUUCUCCCAUAGCCAGGAUUCACAGGUCCAGGAAUCAAGGGGUGGAAAGUGGAAGUGGCACCACUAACCAUCACCCUUAGUGACCCACUAGCAAAAUUUUUGCUUCCUGUUCCCAUGACAUUACAUUCUGAGAUCUUAGUCCCAGAGGGAGGAACGUUGCCACCAGGAGACACAACACAAUUCCAUUAAACUGGAAGUUAAGAUUGUCACUUGCACACUUUGGGCUCCUCCUACCUUUAAGUCAACAAGCUAAGAAGGGAGUUACAGUGUUGCUUGGGCUGAUUGACCCAGAAUAUCAAGAUGAAGUCAGUCUACUACUACUCCACAAUGGAGCAUUUAGCAUUUAGCUCAUGAGCCAGCACAGCUGUUGGAGCUCCAGCCAUCACAUCUGACAACUGGAAGUAGAAAGAGAGAACACCCACCCUCUCACUUUAAGGACACUUCUUGGAAGCUACUCACAACGUAUCUGCUACACGCUAAUAACCAGAACUCUGUCACCUAAUUGAACAGGAAUGGAAAGCAGGUCAGAAAACACAGUCUUUACUGCAUGGGUGCUCAAAUGAAAGAGAAAAGUUUAAAAAGCAACAUUUGUUAGAAGACAUAAUGAUGCACGUUUCUGCUCAACUGGGAGUACUUUGUCUGCUGGGGCCAAGGUCUGGGAGGCCCCCUGCAGAAGGUCAUGAUGCCCUCAGUCUUUACACUUGAACUCUGGGACACUCUAGUUACCUGGAGAAGAGGUGGCGCUAUUUUCUAACAUGGAGACAGACACAACACAAACAAACAUAUAAAAGCUAAAAUCUGAAAAAGCAAGUAAAUAAGCAUGAUAAUUACCAAUUUAUGCAAUAAAGGAUAUAGACAAGGUGACAUCAGAAAGAGUAAUUUGGAGGUGGUGCUAUUUAAGAUAAGAUCAUCAGGGAGGCCCUCCCGGAGACGGGGACAUUUGAGCUGAGAUGCAAAAGAUGGUAGACACACAAAGAGCAGAGAAGGGUAUGCCAGGAAGAGGGAGCAAGCCAAGACCCUCCAGCUAGUGGAGAGUUGGGGCCUGCAGGAACUGAAAGGCAGGAGGGCAGAAGGGCAGAGGUGCAGGAGGGCAGAAGGGCAGAGGUGCAAGCAGGGGCCACCUCCUGGAUGAGUUUAGGGACCAUGGUGAAGCCAAGUUAAAAGACAGACGUUAUAGAAAUAUGAUUGGACAAAGCAGGAUUUAAAAUGCUGUUUAAACAAUGCUAUUUUCUGUUGUGUCUGCUGUAUUCUAUAUUACAUUGCAUUUAACUAUAAAGAUAUUUUAGAGAGCAGGGGAGUGGAGGAGCCAAGAUGGCCGAAUAGGAACAGCUCCGGUCUACAGCUCCCAGCGUGAGCGACGCAGAAGACGGGUGAUUUCUGCAUUUCCAUCUGAGGUACUGGGUUCAUCUCACUAGGGAGUGCCAGACAGUGGGCGCAGGUCAGUGGGUGCGCACACCGUGCGCAAGCCGAAGCAGGGCGAGGCAUUGCCUCACUUGGGAAGCCCAAGGGGUCAGGGAGUUCCCUUUCCGAGUCAAAGAAAGGGGUGACGGACUCACCUGGAAAAUUGGGUCACUCCCACCCGAAUAUUGCGCUUUUCGGACCGGCUUAAAAAAAUGGCACACCACGAGAUUAUAUCCCGCACCUGGCUCGGAGGGUCCUACCCCCACGGAGUCUCGCUGGUUGCUAGCACAGCAGUCUGAGAUCAAACUGCAAGGCGGCAGAGAGGCUGGGGGAGGGGCGCCCGCCAUUGCCCAGGCUUGCUUAGGUAAACAAAGCAGCCAGGAAGCUCGAACUGGGUGGAGCCCACCACAGCUCAAGGAGGCCUGCCUGCCUCUGUAGGCUCCACCUCUGGGGGCAGGGCACAGACAAACAAAAAGACAGCAGUAACCUCUGCAGACUUAAAUGUCCCUGUCUGACAGCUUUGAAGAGAGCAGUGGUUCUCCCAGCACGCAGCUGGAGAUCUGAGAACGGGCAGACUGCCUCUUCAAGUAGGUCCCUGACCCCUGACCCCCGAGCAGCCUAACUGGGAGGCACCCCCCAGCAGGGGCACACUGACACCUCACACUGCAGGGUAUUCCAACAGACCUGCAGCUGAGGGUCCUGUCUGUUAGAAGGAAAACGAACAAACAGAAAGGACAUCCACACAAAAAACCCAUCUGUACAUCACCAUCAUCAAAGACCAAAAGUAGAUAAAACCACAAAGAUGGGGGAAAAAACAGAACAGAAAAACGGGAAACUCUAAAACGCAGAGCACUUCUCCUCCUCCAAAGGAACACAAGUUCCUCACCAGCAACGAAACAAAGCUGGAUGGAGAAUGACUUUGACGAGCUGAGAGAAGAAGGCUUCAGAUGAUCAAAUUACUCUGAGCUACGGGAGGACAUUCAAACCAAAGGCAAAGAAGUUGAAAACUUUGAAAACAAUUUAGAAGAAUGUAUAACUAGAAUAACCAAUACAGAGAAGUGCUUAAAGGAGCUGAUGGAGCUGAAAACCAAGGCUUGAGAACUACGUGAAGAAUGCAGAAGCCUCAGGAGCCGAUGCGAUCAACUGGAAGAAAGGGUAUCAGCAAUGGAAGAUGAAAUGAAUGAAACUAAGCGGCAAGGGAAGUCUAGAG